UGCCCCGUAGUGUAACGGUAGCACACCGGACUCUGACUCCGCUUGUUAAGGUUCAAAUCCUUACGGGGCAUCCA
rnacentral:tRNA from 1 species